GGCGAUUCCUUCUUCUUCUUCUACGCCUUUCCAAUGUCUCUAUCCAACUUGUGAGCGGUUCAAAGUUUUCUUCCAUGAUCUGCCAUUAAUUUGUCCUAUUAUUGAUUUUUCAAAACAGUAGUAUUAACAUCACGAAACUCUCUCCUUCUUCUACUUUCUCACUCAAUAGACAAUAGUCUAUAUAAGAUGGUUGCAUCCAAUAAUAUAAGUUUUCAAAAAAGUUCUAUUGAGGGCAACCAAAACUCGGCUUCUGUCGAUCUCAGAGAUCCAACCCGAAAAACAAAGCUGCAGAGAGAUUUCAAGCAAAGAUUCACUGAUAUCUUCCUAGCUUGCUCUUCCACCUCUUCUGGUUGAUUUGGAAAGGGAUCCCGCUGGUAUUGAGGCAAAAGGUCUGCCAAGAAAGUCAAGCCCGCAACACAGCGAUAGAGAAAUUGGAGUUUGAUUUUAUUCAGAGUCUCAUUUUUUAUUGUUCUUCAGGAAGAUUGAUUUACAAUAUUUGAUUUUCACUUAAUUUUCUAGGUUAUAUUGGUAUUGUUUUUAGCUGGUUCUAAGCUCUGUUUCAUGUUGUAAUUUUCUGUAUUCUCAAAAGCGUUGUGAAAGAAAAAGCGUUAUUUUUUAGCUGCUAGAGCUUCAAGAACAGAGAAUCAAAUAUGGUUGGAAUACUUUCUGAACCUAAAGAACCAACAGUUGGUAUUAGAGAGAUACACUACUUCCAAUUCAAUCCAGUCCACUUAUAUCUAUAGUAAUGGAGACAGGCACCGAGUAAGCAAAAGGAGCUCCAGAAAAGAUUCUUGAUAUGUGCAAGUGCAACACAAGAGCUGAUCUGAGGAACAGAGUCCACUUAGCAAUUGAUAAGUACACUGAGCCUGGACUGAGGUCAUUAGCUGUUGCAAGAUGGCUCUACGUGAGAAAACCAAAAAUAAGCUCUGGUGGUCCAUGUGAAUUCAUUGGUCUGUUACCUUUGUUUGGUCUUCCGAAAUAUGAUAAUGCAUACACCAUUAGAAGAGCUUCAGACUUCGGUGUCAACAUCCAGAUGAUCACUGGUUACUAUCUGUGUAUUUACUUCUCACUUUGGCUUUAAUCUUAUGCUGUAUUGGUUUUCUUAUAGGUGACAAACUUGCUAUUUCCAAAUAGACUCGACGUAUGCUCGGUAUGGGAUGAAACAUGUAUCCAUCAGCAUCAGCUUCUCUACUUAGCAAUCACAAAGACGAAAGCCUAGCUGCUGUUCCUGUUGAACAGUUGAUUGAGACAGUUGAUGGCCAACAUCACAGCACUAUUUCAUAAAGAUAUGUUAACACAGUUGACAAGACCCAGUGCGUAUAAUUUCAUAAAGAUAUGUUAACCACAUGUCUACAAGUACUCUAAGUGUAUAAUAUUUUUGCUAUCAAUGAGUAUAAUUUCAUUAUCUUUUUAUCAUCCCUUACUAUUGUAUCCUUCUUUGGUUUUGCUUUCAGAUUCAUCCAGCAAAAGCUAGGAGGUCCUUCAGUUUCUGAUUACAAGAAGCUUCAAUCUGAGAAGUCUGAUCUUCAAAUAAAGUACUAUGAGUUUUUUGCUAAACAUCAAGGAACGUUGAGAGAGUUAGAUGGAAGUGAAAAGCUUGCAUUCUCGAAGAAUUCCAUAGCUCCGACCAGAAAUUCAUUAGCCAAGUGAUGAUUAUGUUGUGAGAGAGGAAGUCACAACUCAGGGUUGAAGUCUUCCAGGAGAUCAAAACUCUGCCUCUCUAUGGUGACAUAGUAAAGCUUCAGCUCAUUCUUGCUGAUCUUCUGCGCAACAUUGUGAAUCAUGUCCCGUUUCCAGAUAGUUGGGUAGGAAUCAAGAUCUCAUCAAGCCACAAGCUUGCACACGAAAAUGAUCAUAUAUCCAUCUCCAGUUCAGGAUGAUACAUCCUGGAAAUGAUUUCUUUCAGAGAUACUAAGUGAUAUGUUUGAGACAUGAGAUGGAUGGGUCACGCCUGAUGGCUUAUGACUUAAGCAGAUGAAUGGUAGUGUGAGUUAUGUUAGAGAAGACGAACGUUGUUUCUUUCAAGUGGAUCUUCAAGUUAAGACAAGGUUAGGUGUUGCGACCAUAGGAACAGAGGCUGGUUCAAGCAUACAAUAGAGAUUCUGAGUUACAAAGGCAUAUAUAAAAUUUGACGAUGGAUUUAGAACUAUGGAUUUAACUUUUACUUAUUUUAACGUUAAACCCAUUAUGGCCCAACAAAAUAUUGAACAUAAAUUUUGUUUCUCUUUUUCCAAACAAAGUAGAACUUUAUUGAUC